ACCCCUAUGACCCAAUCGGCAGAGGUUCCAAACUUAAAAUUUGGUUGUUGUGGGUUCGACUCCCACUAGGGGUA
rnacentral:tRNA from 1 species